rnacentral:rRNA from 1 species
GAUGAACGGCUGGCGGCGUGCCUAACACAUGCAAGUCGAGCGAUUCUCUUCGGAGAAGAGCGGCGGACGGGUGAGUAACGCGUGGGUAACCUGCCCUGUACACACGGAUAACAUACCGAAAGGUAUGCUAAUACGAGAUAAUAUACUUUAUCGCAUGGUAGAAGUAUCAAAGCUUUUGCGGUACAGGAUGGACCCGCGUCUGAUUAGCUAGUUGGUAAGGUAACGGCUUACCAAGGCGACGAUCAGUAGCCGACCUGAGAGGGUGAUCGGCCACAUUGGAACUGAGACACGGUCCAAACUCCUACGGGAGGCAGCAGUGGGGAAUAUUGCACAAUGGGCGAAAGCCUGAUGCAGCAACGCCGCGUGAGCGAUGAAGGCCUUCGGGUCGUAAAGCUCUGUCCUCAAGGAAGAUAAUGACGGUACUUGAGGAGGAAGCCCCGGCUAACUACGUG